rnacentral:siRNA from 1 species
UACGCUCCUGGUCUUAAUUGGC